GACGGAGGGUGCUAGCGUUGUUCGGAAUCACUGGGCGUAAAGGGCGCGUAGGCGGGCGGUCAAGUCGGAGGUGAAAGCCUGCAGCUCAACUGCAGAAGUGCCCCCGAUACUGGUCGCCUCGAGGGAGGUAGGGGCGUGCGGAACUUCCGGUGGAGCGGUGAAAUGCGUAGAUAUCAGGAGGAACACCAAUGGCGAAGGCAGCUCGCUGGGACGGUACUGACGCUGAGACGCGAAAGCGUGGGGAGCGAACAGG
rnacentral:rRNA from 1 species